UUGAAUUUCACUGUUAAAAAGGGCAGGAAUCCGGGGGAUUUACAGAUAAGUCCAUCUGGGUCCCCAAGAACGGAAUUCAGCCUGAAGUACAGUUUACUUUUUAAUAGUUUUUCACAAAAAAAUCAGCUGUUGCUUAGGUGACAUUUACUUAAGCCGGGUUUUAUAGCUUGCUAUUCACAGUCCAGGUCACAAGCACAAUUGGUACUAUACUGUUGGGUAAUGGCCAGGCUGAAACAUGGAGUGGUUUGUGAUUAUGUGUGAAUUCAACCACUCUCAUUUUGUGCAAGUGGGUUAUGUAACUCCAAAAAAAACAAAGACGUUUGCAAUAGAGCUCUGUUUUUUAGUGCACAAAAUUUCUGGACUCGCCUUGGGAACGGGAUCAGGAAAGCUGAUGUGUCUGCUCCAAAUUGUAUUUUCCAAAUGGAAAGCCGCCACUUGUUUUGCCAAAUAUUCCAAAGCACUCUUACCUUCUUUCUCCCUGUGCUUUUCAACAACCUUAACGGACUCUUCUCAGGGGACACGGUGGCUCAGUGGCUAAAGAGGCUGCGCUUGUCGAUCAGAAAGGUCACUGAAAAAUGCAUGACUAUGAGAAGCAAACUUUUAUUAGAUGCUUCUUGACUUAAAGAAAGCAUCAAACUAAAGGGAAGAGGCUUAAAUUAUGGGGCAUUUUGCAUGGAUAUAUAUAGGGUUGAAGGGUUUCUCCAAGUCUUUCUGAACGAAAAUAAUCCUAAAGUUUGAGGUGAGAGCACUCGCGUCCCCCUGUGGAUGAUUUAAUGAGAUCACCAGGGAAUUGGAAAAAAAAAACAGGAUUCCCAACGGUUGAUGGUGGCAUAGAAAUAAAGCACAAAUAUUAAUAUUUAGCUGGUGUCUUCGGUUAGAGAAUAUUGGAGAUGUGAAACAAACGGCUUUGCGGUGUUUCUAAAUGCAAGAUUAUAUCGAGGCAGCUGGCUAACCUGCUCUUCUCAUCCUUGAGCAUCCUGAGAAAUGAGUGGCUGGUUGAGGCAUUCUGGGAGUUGAAGUCCACUAGUCUUAAAGUUGCCAGGUUUGGAGGCCUUCUAAUAUAAACAAUUGUAAUUGGCUGGGUGUUCUUUUAUUAACAGAUUUCCCAUUAGCAACAAGGACAGUGGGACUCCCGAAAAUCCAACAGGGAGAUGGGAAAAGAUCGUGGAGGCAGGAUUAAACAGAUGUGGAGUGCUUAGAUUUUCUCAUGCCAUUCUGUUUUUUUUUUCUCCUGCAAAUAUUGCCUUUGGUACUGUUGGAAGGAAUUUUCCUGGUUCGUUCCCAGUUGGGACACACGACAGACGAUGCUGAGAAGAAAUGGAUGCAGAAGCCAGCUGCCAGAAAGUGGAAUUCUUUUAAUGUAGGGAGGCAAGAAGCAAAAAGUGACACACUCUAGAAUUCCUGGCUUGCAAGCACCUUGGGAAUCUGAGCCUUUUAUGCUUAAUUCCCCUUUGAAGCUUCUGCAGGUUUGGUGGGUUUUAAUGUGUUUCUGAUUGCCCUGGGUUCCCCCCCCCCACUGUUUUAUUGGGUUAAUUUUGGUCCCAGGUCUUUUGUUUUUCCUGUCCUUGGGGUUUAAUCCUGUCAGGCACAGGAAAAAAAGGAGUUUCGGUUUACCUUGGAAAGUUUAUUUUUAGCCUGAUUCCCCUUAUCUUAAUGGCUCUACUUAAGUGUUUCUGUGUUCAGCUUUGUUACUUUUUUAACAGCCUAAGCUUAGCACUGCUUCUCUGAGUUUUCCUUUCAGCUGAUGCUUCUUGGUUUUCUUAAAGGGGAAGGGCUGGCUUAAAUCUUUUGGCACUGCUUUGGUGGUUCCUGGCACUGUCCUUUUGGGGUGUACUUCCCACAGUACUUUUAUUAAAAGUUUGUUUUUUCUUCCAGGUACUAGAAGUAGCAGAGCAGCUUACUUUCCCAAAGCCCCCCACCACUACCAAUUCAGGAGCAUUUGGAAAAGAGGCAUUAGGAGAGCAUCCACCACACAGACCCACAGUCACUCUUAAAUUUUAUUUAUUUACAGUAUAAAAUUUAUAUACCAUUUAUUUUGCUUUCAAACAACUUUUGGGCAGCAUUACAACAGAACAAAAAAAAACCCAAAAUACAAUGAUAAGAACACUUCCUGACAGAACAGUUAAUCAGUGGAACAACUUGCCUCCAGAAGUUGUGAAUGCUCCACCACUGGAAGUU